rfam:Betaproteobacteria bacterium RIFCSPLOWO2_12_FTLL_65_110 rifcsplowo2_12_scaffold_4939, whole genome shotgun sequence.
GGGGUGUUAGCUCAGCUGGUAGAGCAGCGGACUCUUAAUCCGUAGGUCGUAGGUUCGACUCCUACACGCCCCA